AGCGAACGCUGGCGGCAGGCUUAACACAUGCAAGUCGAACGCUCGUAGCAAUACGGGAGUGGCAGACGGGUGAGUAACGCGUGGGAAUAUGCCUUUUGGUUCGGAAUAACUCAGGGAAACUUGAGCUAAUACCGGAUAAGCCCGUGAGGGGAAGGAUUUAUCGCCAAAAGAUUAGCCCGCGUCCGAUUAGCUAGUUGGUGAGGUAAUGGCUCACCAAGGCGACGAUCGGUAGCUGGUCUGAGAGGAUGAUCAGCCACAUUGGGACUGAGACACGGCCCAAACUCCUACGGGAGGCAGCAGUGGGGAAUAUUGGACAAUGGGCGCAAGCCUGGUCCAGCCAUGCCGCGUGAGUGAUGAAGGCCUUAGGGUUGUAAAGCUCUUUUGUCCGGGAAGAUAAUGACGGUACCGGAAGAAUAAGCCCCGGCUAACUUCGUGCCAGCCGCCGCGGUAA
rnacentral:rRNA from 1 species